UACGAAGGGUGCUAGCGUUGUUCGGAAUCACUGGGCGUAAAGCGCACGUAGGCGGAUUUGUUAGUCAGGGGUGAAAUCCCGGGGCUCAACCUCGGAACUGCCUUUGAUACUGCAAGUCUCGAGUCCGAUAGAGGUGGGUGGAAUUCCUAGUGUAGAGGUGAAAUUCGUAGAUAUUAGGAAGAACACCGGUGGCGAAGGCGGCCCACUGGAUCGGUACUGACGCUGAGGUGCGAAAGCGUGGGGAGCAAACAGG
rnacentral:rRNA from 1 species